rnacentral:rRNA from 1 species
GACGAACGCUGGCGGCGUGCUUAACACAUGCAAGUCGAACGGAAAGGCCCUGCUUUUGUGGGGUGCUCGAGUGGCGAACGGGUGAGUAACACGUGAGUAACCUGCCCUUGACUUUGGGAUAACUUCAGGAAACUGGGGCUAAUACCGGAUAGGAGCUCCUGCUGCAUGGUGGGGGUUGGAAAGUUUCGGCGGUUGGGGAUGGACUCGCGGCUUAUCAGCUUGUUGGUGGGGUAGUGGCUUACCAAGGCUUGGACGGGUAGCCGGCCUGGGAGGGUGACCGGCCACAUUGGGACUGAGAUACGCCCCAGACGCCUACGGGAGGCAGCAGUGGGGAAUCUUGUACAAUGGGCGGAAGCCUGAUGCGGAGACGCCGCGUGCGGGAUGCCGGCCUUCGGGUUGUAAACCGCUUUCGCCUGUGACGAAGCGUGAGUGACGGUAAUGGGUAAAGAAGCACCGGCUAACUACGUG